CAUACACUCACACUACUACAAAAGUCGGAAUAAGUGACACUGAAUAGAGAACGCUUAAGUGUGUUAGACGUUUCUCGGGAUAAUAUAGAACGCCUAUCUUUGAUAACUGUUAUGCAGGGAAAAGAAUAUAGAGCGCUUGCCUUACUUAACAGUUUCAUAUUUUUUACCAUAAUAAAAAAAAUUAAAAAUAAAUAAAUAAAUACAUAUAUACGAUUCAUAACAUAUACGUACUAUCUAACCUUAAAUAAAAAACAAAACUAAUUAACUCUACAAAAAUUGAAUUCCCCCACAAAGCCAAAACCCAAAACCCAAAACCCAAAAGCAAAUUCAAAUGAACUCUAAUAUAAUUUGGGAGAGACGUAAAACUCAACUAUUCGUAAUAUUGGGGAUUUGGGGUUUCACACAAAACAAACCCCAAAAUCCAUCUCCCGCAAAACCAAAACCGCGCACCACCACCCGGUCUCCUCCGCCGUACUGUAAUACUACUGCCGCUCCUUUUCAACCUAUGGUGUACGCCGAUCGACUCUCUAUCACUCCGAAUUUCAAGCUUCCGAAGGUAUUGGGAGCCAAUUCACGCGAUAGAGUAAUACUGGAUGCACCUUGCAGUGGAACAGGGGUAAUAAGUCUAAUUACUUGUAUAUAUAUUGUUGGUGUCGGGGUUUAAAAUUUUGAUAUUCAUUUAGUGAUUGUUCUUCCAGCACAAGUAUGAACCCCCUAACAUGUUCCCUACAAAUUGAGAAUAUGGGUGCUAAAUUACUAGUAGACCGAGGUCGAUUUGAGAACAUGUUGACUCAAAAAGGGUUAAAAUAUUUGCCUUAACCUUAUUUUAAUGAGCACCUGACAUAUAACCAACAGCCUGGCCUAUUGCAACUGCUAGGUCGUGUGCUUCUCUAGCUAGGUUCAGUGCCUUGGCUGCUUUUAUUAGAAACUAGUUAUUAGCCCAUGCAAAUCUGUCAAGUCAUUUGAGAAUUAAUCUUAAUAAAAAGUAAUUAGUACUUCCUCCGUUUCUAUAUAGUUGCAACAUACACUUAUAGAUGUCAUUGCAUACAAAAUAAUUUACCAUUUAUAGCGUGUUGCAAGUAUUGUGAUGUUUCCGGUUUAGGGAAGUGUUGCAAGUAAAAAAGAAACGGAGGAAGUUUUAAAAUAUUUUAAAAUGGUUUAAGCUUUAAUUAAUAACAAACACUACGUAGCUUGAUAUUAAUAUUUCACUCAGGUAUUUUUCUUGCAAGUUGCAAGCAUAGUUGAAUACAACCAUUUGGUGAAACAAAUUUAGAGUAGUUUAGUUGGUUUGUCAACAUUUAAAAAAAAAAGAACACUGAAUGAUAUGCAAUCAUGAUUUUGCAGGUGAUAUCUAUGGACAAAUCUAUAAAAUCCUCUAAAAUCUUUGAAGAGAUACAGAAGUGUGCGCAACUUGCAACAGCAACUUCUCCUAGCUGCUAUUGAUUUGGUGGAUGCAAAUUCAAAAACUGGAGGAUAUGAUGUGUAUUCGACAUGUUCCAUCAUGGUUAUAGAGAAUGAAGCAGUUGUUGACUAUGCCUUGAAGAAACGGAAUGUGAAACUAGUCCCAUGUAGACUAGAGUUUGGAAGGGCAGGAUUUGUCAACUUUAGGAAAUAUCGAUUUCAUCCAUCAUUAAAAAUGACGCGGCGAUUCUAUCCCCAUGAGCACAAUUUGGACGGUUUUUUGUUGCCAAGGUAAAUCUUUACUGUCCGUCUCACUCACCACUAAAAAAGUGAUAGCCUAGAUGGAAGACAUGCUUGUUAUUUUGUGAAUAUCACCAACCAAAUAACGAUGAAGAUGAUGAUAACGAUGAUCUAGUCUGACUUAAGCUAGCUCAAGGAGAUGGUUACCUCAGUCCAGUCCUGCAGACGAACUGCCAAAUCUGGUUUCUGUUGUUGCUGCAGAAGUUGCUGUUGCUGCAGAAUCUGUUCUUGAUGUAGAAUUUGUUAUUGCAGCAGAAUCUGCUCUUGCUGCUACACCAUCCCCAGUUGCUGCAGAAGCUGUCUGCAGAGGCUAGCUCUUUGAUUUUUUAAUUUUUUUUUAAUAGUGAUAUUGGAUUUUGUUUUUUUUUCCCGUACCUUGUGUAAAUCAUCUAUAUUUUGUCAAUGAAUAAUAGGAAUUUUUUUAUUGAAUGAACAAUAUUAUUUUGUUAUUAAAUGAAGGGAUUUUUGGAAA